rnacentral:rRNA from 1 species
CCUACGUGAGGCAGCAGUGAGGAAUAUUGGUCAAUGGACGGAAGUCUGAACCAGCCAUGCCGCGUGCAGGAAGACGGCUCUAUGAGUUGUAAACCGCUUUUGUACAAGGGUAAACCUGAAUACGUGUAUUUAGCUGAAAGUACUGUACGAAUAAGGAUCGGCUAACUCCGUUCCAGCAGCCGCGGUAAUACGGAGGAUCCAAGCGUUAUCCGGAUUUAUUGGGUUUAAAGGGUGCGUAGGCGGAUUGAUAAGUUAGAGGUGAAAUGUCCGAGCUUAACACGGGAACUGCCUCUAAUACUGUUGAUCUAGAGAGUAGAUGAGGUAGGCGGAAUGUAUGGUGUAGCGGUGAAAUGCUUAGAGAUCAUACAGAACACCGAUUGCGAAGGCAGCUUACCAAUCUAUAUCUGACGUUGAGGCACGAAAGCGUGGGGAGCAAACAGGAUUAGAUACCCUUGUAGUC